rnacentral:rRNA from 1 species
AUUGAACGCUGGCGGCAUGCUUUACACAUGCAAGUCGAACGGUAACAGGUUAAGCUGACGAGUGGCGAACGGGUGAGUAAUGCAUCGGAACGUGCCCGAUCGUGGGGGAUAACGCAGCGAAAGCUGCGCUAAUACCGCAUACGAUCUGAGGAUGAAAGCGGGGGACCGUAAGGCCUCGCGCGAUCGGAGCGGCCGAUGUCAGAUUAGGUAGUUGGUGGGGGAAAGGCUCACCAAGCCGACGAUCUGUAGCUGGUCUGAAAGGACGACCAGCCAAACUGGGACUGAGACACAGCCCAGACUCCUACGGGAGGCAGCAGUGGGGAAUUUUGGACAAUGGGCGAAAGCCUGAUCCAGCAAUGCCGCGUGCAGGAAGAGGGCCUUCGGGUUGUAAACUGCUUUUGUACGGAGCGAAAAGGCUCUCUCUAAUACAGGGGGCUCAUGACGGUACCGUAAGAAUAAGCACCGGCUAACUACGUGCCAGCCGCCGCCGUAA